CCGACUGCUUGACAUAAGCUACUUGUCUCUGAAAUUACUGUACUCCAGCCUGCCUCUGUCCUGCCUGCAGUUUUUCUGUCUAAAAAAACUGAGGUGAACUGAGAGUAAAUAGCUUUUAAUGAUAUGUGGGAAAUUGUUUUUAAAAAGGAUUUUUUAACUCAUCAUUUUGAAGUAACCAAAUAAAGACACUUAAUGCAGGAACAGCAUGCUUGUCUGGGGCCUACAUAUGUAGGCAUACAGGCCUACAUAACAAAACUCCCAUUAGUUAAAAAAAAAUAAAAUCUUAUUCUUCCCAUGCACCAUCUUGUUUUCAGGUCUUUGGCAAGUUUUCCCUUGCUGUGAGGCAGCUGGCAGUAUCUGAACUGCUCAGGCAAUUCCUAACAAUUUGCAGCCUUCUACAAGUCAGAUCUUUUCAGUGUACCCAGGGAGAUAAACAAAAGAUAAACAACACUCCUCCCCAUGGAUUAUAAAAGAUUUUGAAGGUGUUUUGGUUUGUUUUCUUUAUGGUUCCAGGUCCACUUGAAAUCAUGGCCCAGCCCUUUUUUCACUUGCUGUCUUUUGUGAAAUCAAAUUGAGGAAACCUAAAAGUCCGCUAAAGCAGACCUUGUGAGAUGUUCUUCUGGACAAAAGACACUGUGUCUCUCCAGGCCCAGAAACAGAAAAGAACACCACUAACCAUAUGAUAUGCCCUUUACUGCAGUCCCUGAGGGCUGAAGGCACUGAUGGAGUGAGACUCCAGCCCUCACCCCCAUCAGGUUUACUUGUUGAAGUUGUUGCUACCUUAUGCUGAUAAAGGAAAAGGUUUCUACUGUUUUCUCAGAGGUCAAGAGACAGGACUCUGGGACUUCAGUCAAUUCUAGACAGCCUGAGGCUUGCACAGAGAUCUGGAAUCAGGAAAGAAAGAGCUAGAGGCCAGAUUGGAGAAGACAUUAGAUGAAGACAUUUGAAGACCAAGAAAGUGAAUGGGCAGGAGCCAAGAGUGACUUUGAGAGGCAGUAGUAAGAAAGAACAGCAGAAACAGUAUCAAGACUUCUUGAGACGAGGAUGAGAAACCUGAAGAAGGAACAACUGGAACUGACUAUCUGGGAAGGUACAAAUAAACAAGAAGCAGAACUGGGUCA
rnacentral:lncRNA from 1 species